UACGUAGGGUGCAAACCGUUGUUCGGAAUUACUGGGCGUAAAGGCGAGUGUGAGGCGGUUUCCUAAGUCAGGUGAUGAAAGCCCCCGGGCUCAACCCGGGAAGUGCACUUGAAACUGGGAGGCUAGAGUAUCGGAGGAGGUUGGUGGAAUUCUCGGUGUAGAGGAUGAAAUUCGUAGAUAUCGAGAGGAACACCGGUGGCGAAGGCGGCCAACUGGACGAAUACUGACGCUGAGACUCGAAAGCGUGGGGAGCAAACAGG
rnacentral:rRNA from 1 species